rnacentral:rRNA from 11 species
AAAUAGGACCUAAAUACUUUAAAGGCACCAGAUCCCAUUCGGCCUUGGAAGCUAAGCAGAGUCCGUUCUGGUUACCACUAGGAUGGAGCCCGUCAAUGACUACCAGGUACUGCAGUCCAUAUUUC